rnacentral:tRNA from 1 species
UUAAUAGAAGCCAAAAAGAGGCGUAUCACUGUUAAUGAUAUCAUUGAAAUUAAAAUAAAUUUCCUAUUAAG